AUCCAGCUGACUAGUCCCAAAUAGGACGAAACGGGUGUCCUGGAU
rfam:Schistosoma curassoni strain Dakar, Senegal genome assembly, scaffold: SCTD_scaffold0012571